UAGGGGCUUUAUAUUCGGCCCUCCAAUUGUGUUAGUGAUUGGUGCAAAGUUUGUUCCCUUAAGAAAAUCAAGAAAAUUGCCAGACAAAUACAAGUGUUAAACAUGAGUACUAGGCGCAGGGUUAGGCAAUCUGUAGGCCCUAUGACUGAUAGCACCAGCCAGCCUCAGCUGCCCUAAACUAAUGUUGGUCCUAUCCAACCUCAGCUGCUUCAGGCUACUAGUGAUUCAACGUCCAAGAAAACAAAGACUUGAGGCCCCACACGAUGCUUUGAUGUUUAGAAAAUGCGUGAAGGUCAACGGAUUUCUAUUUCCGUCAACGAUCUAGGACAGCCCGAUGGUGACAACACUAGUAAGCUGACAAAUUUCAUAGGGACAAUAACACGCAAUGGGGAAUAUGCUCCCCUUACAUUUAAUGAUUAGAGGGCGGUGCCAAAUGCGAAGAAAGAUGAUAUGUGGGGGCUUGUCACGUCCAAGUUUGAGUUUGACGGUAAUGCUAAGGCUUGGGUGUUGAAGUCACUUGGUAAAAAAUGGAGGAAAUGGAAGGGCGAGUUGAAGAAACUCCACUACUCUUCUCAUGAGACUAAUGAGAAACGGCUCGCAGAUCUUGAUGAGCGGGUCCAAGAGGAUCAAUGGAAGACUCUCAUUUAGUUUUGAAACUCUGAAGAGGGGAAGGUAUGCCUCAUUCAAUUAUAGAAUUAUACAAAAUAUUUUGUUAAUAUUUUAUAAUUUACUUUGUCGGUGUGUCACAUAUAAACUCGUUCUAAAAAAAAUAUAGAGAAUCGAAAGAAACAACUGAUUAACCACGGAACAGGCUCGAAGAGUUUUGCACGAAUA